GGUUAAGCGACUAAGCGUACACGGUGGAUGCCCUGGCAGUCAGAGGCGAUGAAGGACGUGCUAAUCUGCGAUAAGCGUCGGUAAGGUGAUAUGAACCGUUAUAACCGGCGAUUUCCGAAUGGGGAAACCCAGUGUGAUUCGUCACACUAUCAUUAACUGAAUCCAUAGGUUAAUGAGGCGAACCGGGGGAACUGAAACAUCUAAGUACCCCGAGGAAAAGAAAUCAACCGAGAUUCCCCCAGUAGCGGCGAGCGAACGGGGAGCAGCCCAGAGUCUGAAUCAGUGUGUGUGUUAGUGGAAGCGUCUGGAAAGGCGCGCGAUACAGGGUGACAGCCCCGUACACAAAAAUGCACAUGCUGUGAGCUCGAUGAGUAGGGCGGGACACGUGGUAUCCUGUCUGAAUAUGGGGGGACCAUCCUCCAAGGCUAAAUACUCCUGACUGACCGAUAGUGAACCAGUACCGUGAGGGAAAGGCGAAAAGAACCCCGGCGAGGGGAGUGAAAAAGAACCUGAAACCGUGUACGUACAAGCAGUGGGAGCACGCUUAGGCGUGUGACCGCGUACCUUUUGUAUAAUGGGUCAGCGACUUAUAUUCUGUAGCAAGGUUAACCGAAUAGGGGAGCCGAAGGGAAACCGAGUCUUAACUGGGCGUUAAGUUGCAGGGUAUAGACCCGAAACCCGGUGAUCUAGCCAUGGGCAGGUUGAAGGUUGGGUAACACUAACUGGAGGACCGAACCGACUAAUGUUGAAAAAUUAGCGGAUGACUUGUGGCUGGGGGUGAAAGGCCAAUCAAACCGGGAGAUAGCUGGUUCUCCCCGAAAGCUAUUUAGGUAGCGCCUCGUGAA
rnacentral:rRNA from 1 species